CCACAAAGAUAGAAAGCUACAGAUACAACCGCCGGAAACGCAACUCCUAAGUAAAACAAAAAUCUCCUACAUAACAUAGUUUUUCUACAAAUCAAGGAUGAAGACUGUCCAGGUGGUGCUCAUAUGCCUUGUCCUUUCGGUGCUCUGUUCAGGUAUUUUGCCGGUAUGUUUUUCUCCACCGCACUUGUAGGAAAUAUAUUUCGGCUUAUCCAUGCUCCUCCUCUCGAAACCCCGCAGGCAUCGCUGCUCGCUGUGCCCAGUACAACGUCUCCAAGGCAUGUCCAAGCAUAGCUUCAUGCACAGCACUAUGCACCUAUAAAUAUAAGGCGGACACGGUUUAUGGUGUAUGUGCUGAUAACGGAUGCUGGUGCGUAGUCUGCGUGAUACCACCUGCAGCUCAAUCUGCGUCUGCAGCCCAGAUUGCGCCCGCAGGGAAUUAAAGGAUAUCGCUUGCUUCCCUUUCUGCCUAAAUAGAAUAAAACAAUGUCUGAUUAAUGUAUUUUUCUCGUACCGACAACAUUGUAUCGGUGUAAGGACCCGUGAGGCAAAAUAACAUCCUAUUAAUAUUGAGCGCUCUUUGGCGAAAUGCAUGAUUAAUUAAUUGGACACUGUAGAGGAUGUAUAAAUAUCCUUUCAUUGCGAGUGGCCAUGAAAAUACGUUUGUGGAUUUUUUUUCUCUCCAUGUUGAGAACAUUACCAAACCAUCGGAAUCGGUCCUCCAUGCAAGUUGCAUCUGGAUGGGAGAUUCACAGCCAAGAUAGUGAAUAACCAGUUCCAUAAGCAACCUUGUUCUGAUCUCAUCAAAACUAUCAAACCCAUCACUUCACACCAUAAACCUGGCAAGCCGGUUCAAAUCUGGUCGAGAAGAAGCCCUUGGGGCCUUGGUGGUCGUCUGAAAGGCAACUUGAAUCACAAAGAGACUGUCCCUGACGGACCUGCAGGGUCUGCAGCGGCGAUCAUCAGCAUAGCGGAUCGAUCAUGAGAUGAAUGCUAAAGCGGCAAGCUAACAUUUGGCAAACGCUGGGUGAAGACAACUGAUGAAAAGUACCCACACGGAUAAUCCAUGCUAACCGAGGCCAGCAGCCGCAUGCAUGGCCAGCACGAGACCUUGGUGCACUAGUAGAAAAAGGCCCAUUUGUCCCGGUUCCAGAGGCCCUUCUGUCCCGGUUUUGGACCCGGGACUAAAGCCCAUGACCUUUAGUCCCGGUUCUCUUACGAACCGGGACAGAUGGGCCUCCAUGUGGCCUCUCCGCCGAGCCCAGGCAGGAGGGCCUUUGGUCCCAGUUCGUAACACCAACUGGGACCAAAAAGUGUCCACGUGUCAGCAGCUCAGGAGCUGGGGCUUUUGUUUUUUUGAAGGGGAGGAGGUUGGGGGUUUGGGAGUUGUUAAUUGGGCCAGACAGCCCAUCUAAGGAAGCCACACGAGACGGUCGACGGAGCCCAGUCGCGCGAGUGGAUCGAGCACCAAGAUCCCAACCGAGGCGAGCGAGGAGGAGCGCGAGAAUCGAACGCGACGCCCUUCAUCUGAGGUUGCAAGGGAAGCCGAUCCAGCCGACGAGGGAAUCCAGCGGACACGCCGGAUGCGGAUGAAGAAGAGGCCCGGUCGAUCCCUCUAUGAAGUGGGAAGGGGGACGCGGGCGAUGAUGUUGGGCAACCCAUCUGCUGGGAACUGAUCGCAAUCAUACUUCAGUUUCUAAGAUCGCAUUCAUGGCGAUUGUUGUGCCCAUCCUUUUCGCUGUCAUGUGGUACUUCUAUAUUGUUCCUCCCAUAACAAUCCUCGGUCACCCUCUCUACUCUGACAUCACAAGCAUCUUUCAGCAUCAUGCUCUGGUAUUACUUAUGCAUGAUUCCUCAAGAUUCGUCAUUGAGGUUUACAAUCGUUCAUUAUUAUACUUGUUCUUUCAGAUUCGUCAUUGUGCCCUACAUGAGUCUCUGUCAAAAUUUGCAUGUGUUAACUCUGUAUGUAUGUAUGCAAUUUGAUAUUUUAAAAUACUAACAUUUGUCCACUUUGUCCUAAAGUAGUUUUUGCUGCAUGGACGUGAGCAGAGCGAAGGUAUCCCAUUAUCAUGAUUCAGAGGACUCAUGUUAUUCUCUCUAUUGUCAAUGCAACCGACUCCGGUUUAUAUCUCUUCUUGGAAUAAAAAAAUGCAUAUAUGAACCUGACUUCUUAUGUAGCUAUGUUCAAUCAACACAUCAGAAUGUUUUUGUUGGGCUGCAGACAUCCCUGUUCUACGACAGGUGAUACAUAGGGAAUUAGGAUUUUAGAAAAUUUGCAUACAUAAAUCUUCGGACGUAAAACAUGUAAAUGUGGACAAGUAUGAAAGCAAUACAAAAGACAACAUUUUUAUUUUCAAGUUAUAAAGUGGAAUCCAUAGAUUACACAGGAAUGUUAUCUCCUAAAAGUGAAUAAUAACAAGACAUCCGUUCAUUCAAAUUGGUGAAUAUUUCUCAAGAUGGGUAAGAUUGACUUUCUCAGAUAGAGUGCAGUAUUGUGACGGUCUCUUUGACUACAUACAUGUUUGUCUCUCUGUUGUGAACUUGCAAGACCUGGAACAACCAGCCUAUUUGUUCAAAUUUCGAAAUCUUGGUGAUGUUGUUUUUCCCUCUUUGCGCAUACUUCUCCUAUUGUUUGGCGACAAACACUUCAUUGCUAAUCUGCCUUUCAAUGACUAUAUCCUUUUUGGCUGAUAGUCCUCUUAAACCUUUAAAUCAGUUUUUUUUAACUGGUGCUCAAUAUAAUGGAUUGUAAUGGUCAGCUGCUUAAUAUAAGAGCUUGGUAACUUGACUUUACGAAUUUAUCGUCCCUUUUUUGAAAUAUUUACUGUCAAUUCUGAGGUGGUGGGCGGCCUAGUGGAGGCUUAGGUAUGUUGAUGGUCCAUCUCCCUUGAUUCCAUUAUUUACAUCCUCUCGACCGCUAGCUCUCACUAGCUACCUGCAGGCACAUAUUUCGCCUAGCCACGCCACACAUGGUGCUCGAGAACUGAUGCUGCCGAGCAUAUCGUUGUGUACAUUCUACUCAUGGGUUAGAUUUUUUAGUUGAAUACAGUUUUGCAAACAGAUUAUUUAUGUAUGUUUCUUAGAAAACAUUGCUCCUUGAAUAAUACCCCAUGAUACUUAAACAAGCUCUAUGUCAUUUUUACUAGUUCAGUUUGGUGGUGGUUUAUAUUGAGGAUUUGAUCAUUGCUCAUGCAUGCUAAAAAAUUUAUCUAACAUGCAGUUUUGUUCAGGUACAUUUCAUUCUUUUGUACAUUGAAAACUAUUGUUGGUAUAUUUUAUAGCUAGACUGUGCACAUAAGUGUAGAGGCCAUUAGUUAUGUUGUUCAAGCUAUGUUGGUAUCUGUUUGAAGAUUAAUUCCAGUCGGAUAUGUUCCAUUGUCAUCUGACAUUUAAUAGUAAAAUAUACUAUUGAAAAUUAGUUAAAUAUACAUUGAAUAGUUCAAAUAAAGAAAUGUCAUGUCAGAUAAGUUAAGCUGACUACAUAUUUGUCAAUGGCUUUAUCAAAUGUAGGUUUCAAAUCAGAUGUCAUUCAGAACUCAUCCUUGAAUUACCUGUAUACUUGAUUAACUGGACUACAUCAUGGAGUUGUCGCCUUUGAAGUUUGAUGAAAUAAGGCCCAUGGUUGUUUGCUUUCCACUCUUAAAUUGCCUUUGGUUUGAAAGAAGGCCCAUGGUUGUUUGCUUUCCACUCUUAAAUUGCCUUUUUGACAGCAACAAAAAACUAUACUAAUAGGAGUUUUGAUUUCCCUUCUUCCUGUACUUUUUCUAUAUCACAAAGAAUUGUUCAUGCCUUAUUUGUCCAUUUCAUGUUGACAUUUCAACUUGACCAUUACAAGAACAUCAUGAUUUUCUUUAUGAUUAUUGCUGUUGUAGAGGUGUUAAAUAUAUAAAGUAUGAAAGGUGUAAUUUCAUGAGAGUACUUUGUAAUAUCAGCUUCCUUUGCCUGAUUGAUGUUGCUUUACAGUCUUAUUUGUCGGCAUUUUGUUCGGCGAGUUAAUGCUUUUUCCAUGCUGUGAGGUCGUAUAUGUUGCAGGCACAGAGCACCUAAGUUUUUCCCAUAGACACAAAAGCAAUGUUCCGGCUGUAGCAUUAAUUACACACACUAGUAUUUCCUAGGCUGCUAUAUAAAUAUGUACGAAAGGAUUGCUAUAUCAAAUACACGCUUAUGAUCAGUGCGUAUUAUCUUCCUUCACAAUGCUUACCCUGCUUACAGUAAUCUACAUGGGUCUGGUUCCUUUUAAUAUCAAUAUUUGUCAUCAGAUUCUGAUAUACAUUGUUUCAGUCCAAAUGAUACAGGGUGCACAUUUUCUACAUUUAAUUUCGACUAAGACUUUCUUUUCUUGGUGGUAUGAUCACUUAUCAGUAAUUUGAUGGUUAUCUAUAUAUGUUGAAUUUUCAUAGCAUUUUAACCUCCGAUAUCAAUAUAUUUUCAUAAUAUAAAUUGUUCAAUUUCAUUUCCAACGUAUUUUGCUCAUAUAUUUUUAUUAUUUCAUAAUAUGAAUGGUAUGACAAAUAUAUGAUUUAGUAUUUUGCAAAAAAAAUCUUGACUUGUGUAUUUUUCAAAAUUCCUUUCAUUCUUUUAAAAAUAGACGGGCGCGGCAAUGCGCGCCAUCCAUGAUCUAGUCAUAAGUGAUGUCCCGACCAGAUUCUUUCAACGUCAAUGAUUUUACUUUUUGGCAAGAUACUUUGGAGGUACGUAAAGCUAUAGAUCAGCGAUGGAUCAAAGUUGAGGUCAGGUAAAGAGGCGAUCUGUCCACUUCUUCUAGGGUGGCCGCUACGGUGGUGCCAGAUUUGAGUGACGGGCAUUGGUAUCUUGCUCAAGGGUUUCUUCAGCCGAGAUUGUAAUUUUCUUUCUCGACUAGCUAAGGGUAGUUUUUGCAAUAGCUAGGGUUGUCCUAUCUUUUUUUGGUUCUGUCAAGUUGGUGUUUAAGUGGAUCGUAAUUUGAUAUUUAUUUUAUAAAUGAGACACACAUGACAUCAAGUAAAAAAAAUCAAGGCUACAGAUCAACAUGACCUCGUGUAUCCCGCAUGANNNNNNNNNNNNNNNNNNNNNNNNNNNNNNNNNNNNNNNNNNNNNNNNNNNNNNNNNNNNNNNNNNNNNNNNNNNNNNNNNNNNNNNNNNNNNNNNNNNNNNNNNNNNNNNNNNNNNNNNNNNNNNNNNNNNNNNNNNNNNNNNNNNNNNNNNNNNNNNNNNNNNNNNNNNNNNNNNNNNNNNNNNNNNNNNNNNNNNNNNNNNNNNNNNNNNNNNNNNNNNNNNNNNNNNNNNNNNNNNNNNNNNNNNNNNNNNNNNNNNNNNNNNNNNNNNNNNNNNNNNNNNNNNNNNNNNNNNNNNNNNNNNNNNNNNNNNNNNNNNNNNNNNNNNNNNNNNNNNNNNNNNNNNNNNNNNNNNNNNNNNNNNNNNNNNNNNNNNNNNNNNNNNNNNNNNNNNNNNNNNNNNNNNNNNNNNNNNNNNNNNNNNNNNNNNNNNNNNNNNNNNNNNNNNNNNNNNNNNNNNNNNNNNNNNNNNNNCUUCGUCGCCAUGGAUGACUCCCUGCUAUCCCCCGUCACCGUCAAGGUCGCUGGCGCUCCUUCUCCUCGGGCGGAUCUCGUCGUCGGCCUUAUUGGCCCCGCCGUUGCCCAAGGUCAAGUCGCGCUUGCCCGCAAGCGGCAGGGCAACGUGGUCGUGCAGGGCGGCGCUCCGGCAGCCCCCGCUACGAGGGCCCGCGCUCCGGGCGCCAACGCUGCUGCGCGAUCUCGGACGGCAUCGGAGAAGGUCGCCAAGGUCGCCGGCGUCAAGAGGAAGGAGAUUCCGGCCACAAAGAAUCUGCCUCCUUCAUCCGCUCACUCUGGCCCGAAAAGAGGUGCCCUGGCGAUGCCGCUCAACGGUGCUGCUCCCCCCGCAAGCGAGGUGUUUGACGAAAUGGCCGGAAGGUAUGUGUCUUCGGUCAUGGCAAUUUUCUUUGCUUUUCGCCAUUUUGCGAUAGCUCGUGACUUGUUGUGCUUCACUAUAGCGGUGGUUCGAACAAUGCAACUGCUGAGUUCGUGAACUUGUUGGACACCAACGCCGUUGACAUUGAUCAAGUCCCGUUUGAAGCAUUCGACUACAAUGAAACGGAGGCUAGCAUGGACGAUCAUGGUUUUCAGGACGAUUUAGAGGAGAUCGAAGCGGAAGCAUAUGAGCAAUCGCAAACAAAAACUAGGAAAAGCCAGAGAUUGAAGAACUACACGAUCUUGGAAGAUCAAGUUCUCAUCAAUGCAUGGAGUGCGGUGUCUCUUGAUGCAUGCACGGGUACUUCUCAAGCCGCCAAGUGGUAUUGGCAAAGGCUCGAAGAUCAAUACUUCUGCAUGAUGGCAAAGUACCCCAAUAGGACUCCAUGCACAUUUCGGUCUCUUCAAGGUCGUUGGGAGAAUAUCAAGCCUAUGUGCAGCCGUUGUGGGUGGGGAGGAGUGCCUUAUAUGGAGAGGAAGGGGCUUGGGUGAGAGGUAGAUGGAUCUGAUCGAUCUGCGGCGGCAAGGCGCAGUGCAAAGCCGAGACGGGGUAGAGAUUGGUAGGGUUCCGUGGCGCGCGCGGCUGCGAGUGGUGGACGAUCGCGGCGGGAGGGAAGGGGGCGGGAGUCCGCUUGGGAGACGAUGGCGGCAGGUAGGGAUAGUUCAUCGAUGGAGUUUGUUAGACGGAAGGAGAGGGAGAGGAGACUCGCGCGCGGCUAAAACGGGAUUCACCUGCUGUUAAUUAAUUUGACAGCGCAGCGGCAGAGAGAGAGAGAGAUAGAAAGAGAGAGACUGCCGCGCGGUUUAAACGGCCCGGGAUUCACUUGCUGUUAAUUUGACAGCACAGCGCCGCAGAGAGAGGGAGAUAGAUUCUACCAUACCCUCCAUACGGUUUAAACGGAAUCACUUUCUGUUAAUUUGACAGCGUGGCACUAGAGAGAGAGAGAGAGAGAGAGAGAGAUUAAGUCCCCAAGAGGAAUCGUUGGAACAUAUAUGCUGCAACAUGUAAAUCAAUGUUUCCAAUGACAAGAAGAAUAGAUAACAUGAAAAGUAUUUGGUGGCAUGAGCACAAUAUCUGCCACAGACCUUCGGACUCAUCGGGCAAUGUAACCCCAUGUGAUUGCAACAAACCGAAUGUAGGUGUUUAGAGCAUCUUCAACAGGCGAUCAAAAACUGCUCCGCGCGCUAAAACUUGGGUUUUUUGGGCGCCGGAUAGAGCAGAAACUGUAAAAUAGUGCACACGCAAAAAAAGGUUGGGCACGCGCGGAAAAAUGCUAUCGCAUGCUGUAAAUUUGAGGCGCCUGAUUGCCGCGCUUCACAAUUUACACUGCAUGCUUUUUUGGGCGCGAGUUUUUUCGCAUCUGGUAAAGCAAUGUUGGGUCCGGCACGCUAAAAGUGCUACAGUGGUGCGCUAAAACUAUUUUAGACGCGAAAGUUUUGUACAUCUGUUGGAGAUGCUCUUAUAUAUUGAAGAAAUCUACACCAAACCGUGUGAUCCCGACACUAGGCACCCCCCGGGCACCUUUUCCCCAUGGUCGGGCAACAUAUUUUUUAGAAAUGCAACGACGUUGCAUUUAAUUGAUGAAGAAGAAGAAACAUUUACAAUGCUAGAUUGAGCACACAAACCCACAACAACACACAAGAACGCAAACACGAGCACCAUAGCAACACCACGCCCUAGAAGAGAAGGAACUCAGCUUCAAAGAUCAUGAAGGCUUGAUGGGGCGAGGAAGGUGUAGCAAUUCCAUCAUCCUAACCAAGCAAGGCGCACACCUAGAGACUUAUUCAUCUGGUUGCCAUCCAACAACACCCCCAAAAGAGAGGGAGGGUGUCGUAUGGGAGCAAGCUAAUCGCAGAAGGAUCACACUAGCUAACCUGGCUUCAGACGCAAGCGCCAGACUUGCCAACAUGAAAUUGAGAACUUGGAUCACAUCUGCCCAACACCAACAACAUCGGCACCCUCCUACCACUGGUCCCUCCAACCGGUAGCACAAAAGAUGAUGCCCCAAGAGGAGCUCCGCACCGACAUCAUCAUAUCUAACCUCCUAGAGGGUCGGAGAGCCUUUGUCUACCCCGGCCACAACCGGAAUCGAGGACCUAGCCCAAUAUAGUGCCACCUCCUCUCGCCCGUGUCAAUAACGUUCAGACCGUGACCAUCAUCGCCUGCCCAAUACCUGCCAACCCCCGGCACCCAAUGACUGCCACAACCACCAUUAGAUCUGGGCCCCGGGGCCCAAACUCUCUUCUGCUUAUAAUUUUUAUUACUUCUGGUGUUCUCUACACAGUCAUUAUAUGACAAAUAAUGAAUAAAGUGGAAGUUUCUUCCAGAAAAACUCUCUUACAAGUGUAAUCUCUGCUGAUCAGUUCCCAUGGCGUAAUAUUACGUUAAGGUAGAGCAUAAUAGAAUAUGGGGUCGUUCGACUACUGUCAUGUUAUAUGAUCGAGUCAAUAAAUUGUUGCUUCUUGGACAAUAAACAAGAGUUUUAAACAAGAUGCAGAUGCACGUGUGGGCGUCCGCUCGUCACUCUGUUUGUGUGGUACAAUGGCUUAGUGUGUGUGUACAUCACAUGAGUGCAGAUUUCUGUAUGAUUUUAUUUAUAGCUGCUCAGACUGGACAUAUUUGACAUAACUUAUCAACAGAUUAAUCUAAUAGAGUGAAGUUUAUUUUUCCUCGCAAAAAAAUAUUUAUUUUAUUUUCUUGUGAAUAGAAAAACUGCACCUUUCCCAGGUGUUGAUUUACCAUUUGGCGUUGCCGUUUGUGCAUGCAUGCACUUCAACUUUUUGCAUGAGCUUUCUGUUAGGAUCUUUUUCGUUUCCGAUUAAAUUUUCUGCAACCACGCUUUGCUACUUUUUCGUUCCAAAAGAAAGCUGAUCAGACGAGUAUGUGAUGUGCAGUGUUCAUCCUUGUAAUCGUUAGAAGUGGAUGAACAAAGCGUGCAAUCAAGACACAUUUAUCCAACUUCAAGCACGUAUCGAUCAAACUAUUGCACAACUUUAGACCUAAUAAACCUUCUAAUGGUACCAAUCUACUAACAUUUACACACGUAUGAUGCCUAAUAGUGUUAAUACCACGAUCGUAGCACAUCAGAAUACUCUCUAUCAAUCUGCAUGCUUGCUGUAUCAUCGAUCACUGCUUCUCGUCGACGGGGGCUUCCUCCUCUUUCUUCGCCUCCUGCAUGAUGGUCACGCCGAAGAGCCUCAGGCAUCCCGCCGGCACCACCGGCACUUGCGGGGGCUGCACCGCCGGCACCACAACAGGCGCUUCCAUGGCAGGCGCCAGCCCGGGGAUCGCGACCCCGAUGACGUCCGGGGGUAAGAGGAGGCGCGCCCAUUUCCUCGGCACGAUGGGCUUGCCCGUGUAGUGCUUCCUCAUGUGCCCACCUAGCUGGACGCCGCUGGUGUACACUUCGCCGCAGACCUUGCAGGUGUGGAGCUUCUCCGGCCUAGGCCCGCCCGCUGCUAUGGGGUCGACCCCCGCUGCUAUGGCUGCAGCGGCGGCCGUUGCGAUCCUCCGGUUCUUGUGGCCGGCGACGUGUCCGCCCAGCCCCUGGUGCGUCUCGAACCACCGGUUGCACUCCUUGCACGAGAAUCCAUGCGGGGCGGCCGGGUCCUGGUGCAGUGGCCAGUGGAAGGCCAGCGGUGGGACGGCGGCAGCAUGCUGCUGUGCGGCGGCGGGGAGGGUGGAGAUAGACGGCGGCUGGCUCUGGUGCUGGUGCGACCGGCGGUGGGACGGGGUCUUGCCGAUGUGCAGAAGGCGUUGGGGCGAUGUUGACUUAAUUGGGUGCAGCGGCGGGUGCUGCUGCCUCUGACACCACGAUGGCCAUGGAAAGAUCAGCAGCACUCUGAGUGGGCUCCAUGCUGCUGGACCUCCUGCUGCUGCCGCUGCCGACGAGGACCUGAUCGCUGCUCGGCACCUCCACGGUCAUCGGGUCGUCCGGGGUCUUGGGCUCCUCGACGACAUAUGCUAUGGACGCGGACACGGAGUCAGCCACCUGGUCCACGGCGCUGACCGUGGCAGACGCCUUCGCCUCCUCCUUGGGCUGGGCCUGCGCGUGGACCCUCAUGUGGCCAUGGACGGCCUUGGAGCUGUGGAACUGCCUGUGGCAGACGGGGCAGGCCGGGAAUAACGCGGUGGCGGCAGCAGUAUCGCCGCCGGCGUGGCCGUCGUCUCUGAUGGUCUCGUCGGAGAGCGAGGACGACGGCGACGAGCGCCGGGUAGUCGAUCUUGAUCUUCUUGACCCGGCGCUGACCACGUCCUCCGGUACAGGGCCGGGGCCAGGGCGGGCGACCGUGACCAUCUGGUGCUGGCGGUGGUCGUUGAGGGGCAGUGGAUGGAGGAAGUAGCGCGCGUCCUCGUCGUCGGUGUCGGUGUCGGAGCCCGUGUAGUAGGCGGAGGCGACCUCGCCCUCCUCGAUGUCCCGGCGCCGGCGCGGUGGCUGGGCCGGGCGAUCAUCAUCCGCGGAGCCGGCCAUGGAAGGAAACCAGAUGGUAGAUCGAUCGACUGGCAGCGAGGAGAGAGAGCGAGAAGCUAGGGUUUUGGAAUCGCACGCUGCGCUCGAGAUUUUAGGGCUUGGCUUGUGUUGUGGCCUGUGUGGGGUCUGUGCUUCGCUUGUGGGUGGAGGGAGGUAGAGGGAAAGUGGGGUGCCUUAUAUGGAGAGUGACGGCUUGGGUGAGGGGUAGCUCCGUUGGGCGGCGGCAAGGCGCGGCGGGAGGCCGAGACGGGGUGGAGAAGUAGAGAUAGAGUUGGAGUCGGUAGGGUUUACGACAGCGGGGCUUCCGUCGCGCGCGCGGCUGCGAGCGGGGGAUCGCGGCGGGAAGGGGACGGGAGUCUGCUUCGGAGACGAUGGGUGGCGGGGCUGGGAUGGAUCCAGUUUGUUACGCGGUUUGAAGGGGAUUCACCUGCUGUUGAUUUUUUUUGACAGCGCAGCGUGGCAGAGAGAUAGAGGGAGACUUCCGCGCGGUUUAAACGGUUUGACAGUACUAGGGAGAGAGAGAGAGAGAGAGAGUACCGCGCGGUUUAAACGGGAUCACCUGCUGUUAAUUUAAGAGAGAGAGAGAGAGAGACUACCGUACCGUGCAGUUUAGACGUGAUCACCUUCUGUUAAUCUUUUUUUGCGGGUUAUUUUCUGUUAAUUUGACAGCGUGGCAGAGAGAGAGAGAGGAGUUAGCAGUUCUUUUUUUUUUCUUUGAGCGGGAGAAGAGAUAGCAGUUUCGUAUAUGGAAACGAAUCUUGGCCGGAUCUGAUCGAUAUUUCUUCGCCAACAAGAUAUAGUACACUAGUGGAGGCAAAGGAAAGUUAAUUAAACCGGUGAAGAGAUUAGAGACGGAGAGAGGAGUCUUUUUUUUUUAGAACGAGAGAGAGGAGUCUAGAUAUUCUUUUUUUUCCUGGCAUGAUAAAGCACAUACCAAAAACAUCGAAGCAGUCCAAACAAAUCAAUACAGUAGCAUUAUUUACUUCCUGUAAAUAAAUGUACUAACCAAUCUCCUAAUGAAGGCCCGAGAAGAAUCAUGCAUGGCAACAUAUAUGCUAAUUUUUUGUUGGUAGCUUACCAAGCUGACCACUUGUAAAAAUAUGCUGCAACAUGUAAAUCAAUGUUUCCAACAAUAAACAAAAUAAUUCCCGAAAAAUAUAACGUGAAGAAUAUUUUGCAGCAUGAGCACAAUAUUUGUAGCAGGCCUUUGGACUCAGUCGGGGCAUGUCACGUGUGUGUAUGCAGUGAAGCAAAUGUGGUUUUGUGACAUAUUGAAGGGAUGAAAGACAAAUCGCGGGAUCCCAACCGGGCCUAUCCACCCGCGGGUAACGUUUCCCCAAAGCCAACCAACAUGGAGGGGGGGGGGUCCCUUUUCAGUCCAACUCCAGCUACUCCAUUGAUCCACGACAUAACCUCGACAACCUUCAACCAAGGGCAGACCAAGGGCGGAUGAAAAACAUAGGAUGGUGGGAGGGGAGUUGUGAGAGGAUAACUGUUUAAGAUAGAUUCACAAAAUCCUCGCUCUAAGAUUAAGGAUAAUGCAUUAUAUAUGUGUUCUACGGAGUUGUAAAUAUAUGAUCCAUUUUUCACCGCUUUAUGACAAAUAAUUGUGUUCAUCGACGUACUGGUCUAUAUUUGCAGGCAUAUCGGGUCAGAUAUCGGCCAUACGGUCGAUAUUUCAGUCCAUGUCAGAAGAUAUGUGUGAAAAUAAUAUUUACAAAAUGAUAUUUACUAAUAUAUCAGCCUAUAUAUCAAUCAUAUCAGCCUAGAUUUAAAAGCUUGAUCUCAGCCCUCCGUUUGGUUGAAGAUUGCAAUGCAUGUAUGCUUAUCUUCUUUACAUGCAUGGCGCCACGGACUACUUUUAGGGGGGCCCAUGCAUUCAUGCAUGAUGUCAACUAAUAGCAUUAUGCUCCCCCCAUCCCAUGUCCCAUACGUUUUCAUUUCACCCUUAAAUUUCAAUAUAUUUUUGUUCUAGAUGUGGUAUGAGAACUAACACAGUGAGGCAACACUGAACAUCAUGUCGUACUCAAUAUUUCUGCACUGUACUAGUACUAACUAGGGAUGCAGUGUACUACUAACAAGAUAUUGCAAAUCACAGCGGCACAGAGAUGACAUGGGUGGAGGCGGAGAUAGACGCACCUAUGAUCUCCGUCGUCGUGGAGGUUGAUGCCGUGGCUGCGGAGGAUGGCCCGGAGAUUGGUGCGUUGAGGAUGCUCCUCGACCUUGUGCUCCAACUAUUCAAGGCAGAAGUGGUCAAUGCGUUUGCUCCUGCCCAGAUUACAUACACCAGUGCAUAGAUUUCAGAAUCGAACAAAUCAGAUGUGCAAGAGAGGAGGGAUAGGGAGGAGGGGGCUUACCUGAAGGAGGCGUCUUUGCUGCGGACGAGGAGUAGGACGAGGAGCAUAAACUAUCUUUUGAACCAAAAGUCCUAAUUAAGUUUUGUUUGCAUAUUUGUGUUCCUUGUGACAAGGGCUUUGAAAUAAGACCAAUUUUCAAUAUGUGUUUACAUUUUUUUAAAAGUUUUUGCUAAGUUUCCACAGCCAAAACUUAAUAGCAAUGGACGAUAAAAUUAGUAAACUUAAAACUAGGGAGGAGCAAGAACGCCAGCGCAAGCAGCUCGAGCGACGUGGCGGAGGAGGGCCAAGUACGCCCCGAGCGAGACCCUAUGGCGUAACUCCUCCCGCGGGAUCAGCUUGGCGCUGGCUUCGCGUGCAGGGGCUCCUCCAUCUCCGCCUUGUGCUGAGCGCCGUGGGGGUGGUGAUGGAGGGGGGGUGAGGAUGGAGAGGGCGAGGGCAGCAAGGAGGAAGAUGAGACCGACGGCGCCGAGGAGCGGGCGCUGCGGACAUGGGAAGAGGAGGUGUAAGGCGAGGCAAGA
rnacentral:lncRNA from 1 species